AUUUGACGUUUAAUCACAGUUGAAAUCUUGUCCAACUGUGGCAUAAAGCAGUUAAAUCA
rfam:Streptococcus agalactiae LMG 14747 ctg7180000010244, whole genome shotgun sequence.